rnacentral:rRNA from 1 species
AUGCGACUGUUGCUUCAUUUUCAGUUUUCCUUCACGCUGCGCAUCUUUUGUGUUUUUUAUCAGGCAUUGGGGAUUUGGGGGUUUCCAGGCGCGCCUAUGUCGCAACAACCAGAGCGUGCGGCGGUGACGGCCGUGCCCGGCGAGCUUCCGCCUGCCAAAAGGAAGAAGAAAGAUCCGAGUAUUUCAGAAUGCUCGCCGGCGGUUCCGGCCAUGGCGACCACAGGCUGGUCCACGCUCCCGCCCGACCUCGUCCGCCGCGUCGCCGACUCCCUCCUGGCCACCAACGACAUCGACUGCUACAUGGCCUACCGCGCCGUCUGCUCCGCCUGGCGCGCCGCCACCGACGACCCCAGGAGCGACGCCACCGACCCCCGCUUCCGCCCGCGCCGCUGGAUCCUCCUCGACGAGGUCUUCCAGAGCCAAGGAAAAGAGAUGCUCCUGCUAACCAUCGACACCGGCCGUUUUCUCCGUAAGAAUCUCCCGCAGCUCGGGGACUACCACGCCGUGGCCAUCACUCACAGCGGCUACUUGGUCCUGGCGGAGAAAAGCCCUCCUCACGCCGCUCGCGUCCUCAACCCUCUUACCGGCGUCGUCAUCUCUUUCGCGGCGCCCUUGCCCCCCGAUGUGGGGAUUGCUGAUGUCACUUUCCCGCACGGCACUUCGCUCCGGCUUGCCGUGUUCUGCGACUCAUCUGGCGAGGCUUACGCGGCCGAUCCUCACAGUGAAAGUUUCAUCAGGCACGAGUAUGAGGAGCGAGCAACUUACGAUUUCUUCCGGAAGGCAGCUGUAGGUGGUGUCUACGCACGCAUGCCUUAUCACGCCCUUCUUUCCAAUUUCUUCUCCAGCAAUCAUCUUGGAGAUCCGUACAGCCUCGAGGGUUUCCUAGUCGGUUUGGAUGGGCAUAUAUGUGUCGUAUUGAAGAUCUUGGAUCCACAUGGAGAAUUUUCUCUCAGUGCUUUCCAAUUUGACACCGAGACAGGUAUGAUCUGCCGUAUGAAGACCACAGGCACAUUUGCCAUCUUCAUCGGUGACAGGUGCUUGGCUGUCGAUACUGAUAAGUUCCCAGGCACUGAGGCAAACUGCGUGUACUACACUGAUCAUCAAGGACAUAUCUGCAAGUGCAACAUCAAGGACGGAAAAAUGGAGAAGAUCUCUCAAGCUGCAGAUUUCGUUAAGCAGGACAAACAGUUUGUCAUGGUCGCCGACCGUCCUUGCACCAUCAUCCACUUUCUCGCCAGCUACACAGUCAACAUCCCGGAUUCUCAGCUGGCCUUGCAACAGAUUCCAUAA